AAUGAUCAGGUUAUCAUAUCUUUACGGAGAGGAAGCCGCUCUUCUCUCUUUUAUUCUUGUUGAAUUCGAUCUUGAAUUUUCAUUUCCAUCGCGAAGGACUUCAACUCAACUGGAGUAGCUUAAUCUUUGAUCUUUCUUCUUCUUCCUUUUCUUUUAGGAAAGAGCACAUUGAGUCACUUUUGGCUAUAGCUGGCAGCAAGAAAGAAUGAAAAAGAUGUAAAAAAACGACUAUUAUCGGUCCGAAGGUUAUGAAAUAACGAGAAAAAAAACAAAGAAAUUCAUGAAUUGAGAAUGAAACCUAUGAAUUUUUGUAAUCAACGACCUUGUAAUCCUUAGCGAAAAUUCAGAAAAAGCUAGGUUUUGGGUAUGGCUGGCAGCAACUUUUCAUUCAAAAUCUUGAAUUUUUUCUCUAUUAUCGUUAAAUAUCAAGAUGAGAAAAAGGACCAUUUUGCAAGAAAAAAGACGGGAAAACGCAAUGAAAGAAUCAAGCCUAUCAAAGAAAUGAACAGACUUUGAUGAGAGUUCUAGUUUCUGGUCCGGAUAAAGAGAGGAGAAAGAAAGUCAAAUGCCUGAUUUUGAACUCUAUUAUCGUAGAGUAGAUAGAGUCUCUAUUUAUGCUAUUUGAGUGGAAAAAGAAGAAAAAAUCCCGGGGUUUUGAAAAAAAGAAGAGACUUUUUCUAUCUCAUUUGCUUAAGACAUACAAGUAGGAGGUUCUUUGAAAGUCGUUAAGAGUCGACCCUCUGAUCUUUUCUUUCUAACUCACCUCUAUGCCUCCGUCCUCCCUCCUAUAUAUUAAGAGUGAUUUCUAGGACGAAUAUGAAUUCAGCCUCGUCUUCUCGGUCAAGCUGCUUUCGCUCCUUUCUCUCUCUUUCUCCAACCUUGCACAAGAUCGACUCAAAAUCAAAGAAUGAUCUCAGAAUGAUCGGCGAAAGGACUGAAUGAGAAUAUAAGAAGGUGCGAAGGAGCGAAAGCGGCUCGACUGAGGUUAGGAAGGUUCAGAGCGAAGGUUCAAUUUCAGGUUCUUUGAAAGUCGACUGAUAAGGAGUCAAUGAACAAGGGCCCUUUCCCUUUCUUUUUUGAAAUAACUCGACUCCAAACAUAAAGGCUCAAAGAAUGAUCGAAGCGACUGAAAGUUAAGGAAUUCUCCCUUCUUUAUCGCCCUUCAAAGACGAAAUAACUCGACUCCAAACAAUAGGGUGCGAAGGUACUCGUAGUUUUAGAUAUAGGGAAGGCGCAAAGAAUUUGUGGAGUUGAACUCGAGUGAGGUUAGGAAGGCGGAGUAGGAGAUUGAUUCUUUGCUCCUUCAAAGGAGUGCAACUCAGAACCAUUAGAUUUAGAGGACUCAUGAAAUUCCACUAACCCGUCAUCUGGACCUUUGUUUUUGGACCACUCAAAAUCCUUUAUCUUUUUCUUGUUUUUCUUCUCUUAGAAACUGUACUAAUCGCAGAGCUUUAUCAACUCAUAUAAUAUAUAUAUUGAUAAACGACUGAUUCUAUAUUUAUAUACUGAAUAGUGAAUAUCUUUUUCUGACUUUCGCACUUUCGCAGGAGCGCAAGAUAGAAAAGAUGUAGCAUCAAAGUGCAAAAGAAAAGAGGGGAGAGAGAAUGAGAUCUUGUUCGUAAAGCUAGAGGAAGAGUUCCGGAUCGAGCAUAUUCACACCUCAUCAGUCCAAGAAGGAAACCGAGAGAGCUGCUCAGCUCUGAAAUUGAAUAAGAGGUCAAAUUCUCUCUUUCGGAAAGCUAGAACUCAGAUAGAGACUAGCCUCAAGCGCGGACUCAGAAUCAAUCCUAGGGCUAGGAUCGAUAUAAAGCUGCUUUACCUUAUCGGAAAUAAAGGGAAGAUCAUUCAUCUUCCUUAUAGGGUGGUAUCUCAGAAUAGAUUCUAAGAAAUCAGAAAUGAUAGAUCACGUUCGGGGAAUCUGUCUUUUUCGUCCGACCCCACUCAAUCAUCAGAGUUCUCACUGGAGGGUAGUCCAACUAAGAUAGCUGACUCUGGAAGUCAUUCCCCGUUAUAGUAAGGUCCCGCUAUUUCAUCCCUCUCCCUCUCGUUCUACAAUCUCCUCUGAAUUUCUUUCAUCGAUCCUCUCUCUCGACUUCGUUCACUCCUAUCCUUCUAUUAGCUGAGAACCUCUUUCGAAGUAGGUCUCGCCCUUUGUCCUCAACUGAGCCUUCCCUUGCUUGAUCUUCCCCGCACCCUGACCGGGGGCUCAUUCUGAAUCUCAUACUCGUAUUCAUAUGCUUAGUUGGAUCGCGAUCAUUAUCACAGUGGAAAGAUAACUGAUAAGAGAAUGGAGGAAUCAGGCUCGCUCAUACGGAGAGCUUUCGCACCGAUAAGUCAAGCUUCAAGUCCUUUUCUUCUCUCCCGCAGCAGGAUUCCAAGAACGGAGAUCCUAUCCUCAACUCUCGCGCCUUCUGUUCUUCAAUCCAAUCCGAGCCUCGUCCUUGAGAUAAGAUAGUUCCACCCGCAAUCAAUGAACAAGGGGGAUGGGAUGACCUGUCGGGAGUAGCUCUUCUUCUUCUUUUUUUUUGAUUUCUUCUUCUUAUUAUUAGAAAAAUAGAAGGAUCUCCAUCCACGAGGUUGUAAGCUUCUGGUACGAAUCGCUAUGUAAUAAUAGGGUAAACCGGGCUCAGAACCGUACUGGAACGGAAGGCCCAGAGGUCAGGAUCGGUAUGAGCUAACCCAGUAGUUUAUCUUAUUUCAUUCUU